UACGGGGGGAGCAAGCGUUGUUCGGAAUGACUGGGCGUAAAGCGCGCGUAGGCGGAUCAGGAAGUUGGGGGUGAAAUCCCGGGGCUCAACCCCGGAAUGGCCUUCAAAACUCCUGGUCUUGAGUUCGAGAGAGGUGAGUGGAAUUCCGAGUGUAGAGGUGAAAUUCGUAGAUAUUCGGAGGAACACCAGUGGCGAAGGCGGCUCACUGGCUCGACACUGACGCUGAGGUGCGAAAGCGUGGGGAGCAAACAGG
rnacentral:rRNA from 1 species